rnacentral:rRNA from 1 species
GAUCAACGCUGGCGGCGUGCAUGAGACAUGCAAGUCGAACGAAGGAUCGGGCUUGCUCGAUCCUUAGUGGCGGACGGCUGAGUAACGCGUAGGUGACCUACCCCGAAGUGGGGAAUAACUGCCCGAAAGGGCGGCUAAUACCGCAUGUGGUCGCACGUUCAUUCGUGCGAGUAAAGCCGCAAGGCGCUUCGGGCGGGGCCUGCGUCCGAUUAGCUCGUUGGUGGGGUAAUGGCUUACCAAGGCGACGAUCGGUAGGUGGUCUGAGAGGACGAUCACCCAGACUGGGACUGAGACACGGCCCAGACUCCUACGGGAGGCAGCAGUCGGGAAUUUUGCUCAAUGGGGGAAACCCUGAAGCAGCAACGCCGCGUGAGGGAUGAAGGCCUUCGGGUUGUAAACCUCUUUUGUCAGGGACGAUGAUGACGGUACCUGGCGAAUAAGCCACGGCUAACUACGUG